AAAAAAACUAAAAAAUCAGUUUACAGAUUAAAAAUACAAAUACCACAUUAAAAUGUAAAAUAAAUUAAAAAGGCAAAUAUGCAUUUAAAAAAACUACUUUAAACAAUAAAAAGAAAAUUUUAUUGUUUCGAGGGAGCGUCCACAUCAGCGAAAAAAUAAUAGCUCUUUGGAAGACACGUGGCAUAUUUUUUUUACAUUCAUCGUUAACAAAGUCUAUGGGCCAUCAUGUUUUGUUGACGUUUAUUUGUUUGGGCCUUUAUAUCACAUUAAUCAACCAAUCAGCUACACUAUAUAUGAUUAGGGUUUCAGUUAUUCCUAUGGAAGGAUUAGGGUUUCAGUCAGACGUGAGGACAUCAAAUCUAACUACUUCCUCGAAAUCUCAUGACAAGGAGAAGAUCGUUGCUUCUCGGAAGAAUCGGUAAUACCUCCGAAUGUAGGUUUUCAUCAAUCUGUAUAUUGGGUAGAGAAUGAAACAAGGCGGAAUGAUGGAGCAGAGAUGGAUUCCGCCGGGAUAUCCAAGAUUAGGCAGCGUUGAGGUUAAGAAGGACCAUAUGCUCUGGGUGGCUCUUUCAGGAGACGAGAUUGAAUAAGACAUACGUCUUAUAAUGAUCACUAAAAGGGAUGUUAUUAUAUUGUAAAACAGUCAUAUGUUUACAACUACAAUAAUAGUUCUCACUAAUCCUCUCUGAAAAUUGCUUCUCGCAGAAUUUCUCCUAAUUAAAUGCUGGUAUAUGCAUGGAGCGGACUUGGACAAGGCUGCUACGUUUCUAGGAGGGUCGGUGUUGAUUUGCUUCUGGUCACUAACUCUCUAUGUCUUUACAGUCGACGCUAAUCCAGGCCUCCAUCAACGUCACCGGCUCAACAGUUUCCAACUGUUUAUGAUCUUAGCCUUUUCGAUGUGACAAAGAGCAGCCCUAACUUUUGCUUCCCUGAUGCGCCUGUUGCAAUCAGAUUUACGUAGCAUGAGUCUAUGUAGGUUACUCCCAUCUGCCUUAGUGUUUUUGACAAUCUGCUGAUGCUCCUCGAUGAGAAAUUGGUUGCCUUAGGUAUAGAACCAAAGUUUUUCUAGCCACAAACAUCAACCCAAAAUUGGAAGUCUUUUCCGUAAAGCCACCUUUGGGACUCAGUUCUAUUUCGACAAUGAGAACUCCCCUGGAAAGACCUACUUGGAAAGGCACUUUCCCGAUGAACAAGUGUCUGCCUCCAAAACUCUACGAAGUAUGCGAUGUGAGGAAGAUUGAGUCCUUGACUGUAUCGGAGUGAAAGGCUUAUGUGGUUACUGCCAGUCUACAGACUGAAUUCCUAUGCACUGGUAAAGUGGAGGAGAUAUAUAAUUAUAUACUGAUAAUGGAUGGUCCUACACCUCCUGUUCUAAGGGGAUGCAUUUGACACCGCUAUCUUUGUCGCACUUGACAAUGACUCAGCUAACGGAUGUGCGUGCUGCUAAAGUCUCCCAAUUCCUGACGUACAUAACACAGCCCUCAAGACAUUGUUCACAGUACCUUAACCUUCCAGUUGAAGCUCACAGCAUUCAAUUACUCUACAAACAUCAGAGCUUUACUAUCGUACGCAUUUACGAUCACCACCAGUGCCACCGCUUGAUGAUUUUGCUCCCCAGGUGCUGGUUCAAAGGGGAAGAGUUGCACUGAUGUGAAGAACAAUGUUCCUGUGAACAUGAGAGGUUUUGAUAAGUUCAAAAAAAAAAACAUGAGAGGUUUUGCACUGAUGGUGAGACGUUGUAUGGGACAUGCGGGCGAGGAAGCUGUUCAGAAUACAGUCCCUGUUGUUUUUGCCCUAAUCUCCCGGCUACUGAUGACGGAACUUCUGGGAGGUAGGCCCGGACUAAUUAGACUCCCAGCUUUUUGAGUCUACUAUCCUUACUUGACUCUCACCUCUUAGAUGCACUGCAGGCUUUUUCACUUUUGUUUUGUUAUGAAUAUUUUCUCCAGUUUCUACCCUUCAAUGUGUUUUUCCACCUAAGUUUCUACUCUGUUAAUCAGUUUCGUACUUAUGCAAUGGUUUUACAUGGUCA